AUGAACGCUAGCGACAGGCCUAACACAUGCAAGUCGAGGGGCAGCACAAGGAGCAAUCUGAGGUGGCGACCGGCGCACGGGUGAGUAACACGUAUGCAACCUGCCUGUAAGCGGGGAAUAACCCGUUGAAAGACGGGCUAAUACCGCAUAAUACUAAAUUACUGCAUGGUAAUUUAUUUAAACAUUUAUGGCUUACAGAUGGGCAUGCGCAUGAUUAGCUAGUUGGAGAGGUAACGGCUCCCCAAGGCAACGAUCAUUAGGGGUUCUGAGAGGAAGGUCCCCACACUGGUACUGAGACACGGACCAGACUCCUACGGGAGGCAGCAGUGAGGAAUAUUGGUCAAUGGACGAGAGUCUGAACCAGCCAAGUCACGUGCAGGAAGAAUGUCCUAUGGAUUGUAAACUGCUUUUGCAGGGGAAUAAAGUGCAUCACGUGUGAUGUUUUGUAUGUACUCUGCGAAUAAGGAUCGGCUAACUCCGUGCCAGCAGCUGC
rnacentral:rRNA from 1 species